GCGAACGGGUGAGUAACACGUGAGUAACCUGCCCUUGACUCUGGGAUAAGCCUGGGAAACUGGGUCUAAUACCGGAUACGACCAUCUGACGCAUGUCAUGGUGGUGGAAAGCUUUUGUGGUUUUGGAUGGACUCGCGGCCUAUCAGCUUGUUGGUGGGGUAAUGGCCUACCAAGGCGACGACGGGUAGCCGGCCUGAGAGGGUGACCGGCCACACUGGGACUGAGACACGGCCCAGACUCCUACGGGAGGCAGCAGUGGGGAAUAUUGCACAAUGGGCGCAAGCCUGAUGCAGCGACGCCGCGUGAGGGAUGACGGCCUUCGGGUUGUAAACCUCUUUCAGUAGGGAAGAAGCGAAAGUGACGGUACCUGCAGAAGAAGCGCCGGCUAACUACGUGCCAGCAGCCGCGGUAAUACGUAGGGCGCAAGCGUUAUCCGGAAUUAUUGGGCGUAAAGAGCUCGUAGGCGGUUUGUCGCGUCUGCUGUGAAAGACCGGGGCUCAACUCCGGUUCUGCAGUGGGUACGGGCAGACUAGAGUGCAGUAGGGGAGACUGGAAUUCCUGGUGUAGCGGUGAAAUGCGCAGAUAUCAGGAGGAACACCGAUGGCGAAGGCAGGUCUCUGGGCUGUAACUGACGCUGAGGAGCGAAAGCAUGGGGAGCGAACAGGAUUAGAUACCCUGGUAGUCCAUGCCGUAAACGUUGGGCACUAGGUGUGGGGGACAUUCCACGUUUUCCGCGCCGUAGCUAACGCAUUAAGUGCCCCGCCUGGGGAGUACGGCCGCAAGGCUAAAACUCAAAGGAAUUGACGGGGGCCCGCACAAGCGGCGGAGCAUGCGGAUUAAUUCGAUGCAACGCGAAGAACCUUACCAAGGCUUGACAUGAACCGGAAAGACCUGGAAACAGGUGCCCCGCUUGCGGUCGGUUUACAGGUGGUGCAUGGUUGUCGUCAGCUCGUGUCGUGAGAUGUUGGGUUAAGUCCCGCAACGAGCGCAACCCUCGUUCUAUGUUGCCAGCGCGUUAUGGCGGGGACUCAUAGGAGACUGCCGGGGUCAACUCGGAGGAAGGUGGGGACGACGUCAAAUCAUCAUGCCCCUUAUGUCUUGGGCUUCACGCAUGCUACAAUGGCCGGUACAAAGGGUUGCGAUACUGUGAGGUGGAGCUAAUCCCAAAAAGCCGGUCUCAGUUCGGAUUGGGGUCUGCAACUCGACCCCAUGAAGUCGGAGUCGCUAGUAAUCGCAGAUCAGCAACGCUGCGGUGAAUACGUUCCCGGGCCUUGUACACACCGCCCGUCAAGUCACGAAAGUUGGUAACACCCGAAGCCGGU
rnacentral:rRNA from 1 species